rnacentral:rRNA from 1 species
AAACGGCCGCGUUAGCGUGAGCGUGCUAAGGUAGCGUAAUAAAUAGCCUUUUAAUUGGAGGCCAGUGAAUGGCAAGACUAGGAACACCUGUACCCUUUAUGUAAGAAAAACUUUUCAUCCGAGUGAAAAGACUCGGAUAACACAGGAAGACGAAAAGACCCCGCGGAACUUUACCUUUUCUAGUCUCAUUUGUCAUACUACACACACAAAAGACACAAGGUUUGAUUGGGGCAAUCUCGGAACAACUAAGCUUCCGAUCUCCUUAAAACAAAGAUUCAAAACGCGAUAAGGACAAAAAAGAAGUUACCCCGGGGAUAACAGCGUAAUCCAGCUUGAGAGUACACAUCGAAAGCUGGGUUUGCGACCUCGAUGUUGGCUUAAGGACAUCCACAUUAGUGCAAC